UUCUUCUGAGUGAGGGGGAGUGAGACUGGUAUGUUUUCAGACCCACUUUGUACAAGGAGAAAGUAAAGCAGGUGAAGAAAGCCUGCAGAGUCCGUGAGGGAGACCCAGCAUUUCCUCCUCUGAAAGGGAAGCAAAUGUUCCCUUUGAGGAACAAGAAACUCCACCUCCGCAAUCGCUUCUCUGCGCUGUGGGGUGGCAGAAGAGAACCGGGAAGGAGAGAGCCAAGAGGCGUCAGGUGCUCAGCCCUCUGCUGGAGAAACAACAACAAUAACAAAUACCAUCACAACAGUGAGCCCAUCAACCCCUCUGAGAGACCUGAGGAUAAGCCAUAGUAAAACAGCACGUGAUUAUCCUUAACCUCUGGCAGAAGGUGCCGCGGUGAGGAAACCGUCAAGGGCAAUUUUACUCACCCUUGGAAGGGAUCACGGUGGUGAAAACUUCUAUAUUUUCAUCACUGCAGCUGUAAAUCUGAUGCAUCGUUUCAGGCUUCUCUCCCCCAAAGUGCCGGGAACCGGAAGCCUCUCUCUGAACCCCUAGUCGCGAGGUUUCCUAAUCCAGUCUGGCUCGGGGAUCAUUGUGCAGGUCUACAAAAGACAGGCUGGUGCUGUGAUCUCAUCUCAUUCCAGAGUCUUCACUGCAACAUUUUCUAAUCCCAUCUGUCUUUUUUUUUUUUUUUUUUAUGAAUCCUAUUAUUGUAAACCUUUGAUUGAGCGUGGAGGCUUCAGUCCCCUCCCAGCCAGGACGUAUUUAACAUUUUUAUUUUGCCGUGUCUGCCGCAGUGAUUUUGGAAGUCUUUUGUGAAGUAACGAUGAAGUGAAAUCGCCGACUCUGUUAGCGCCAAGCUUGGCUGGAGAAUUUCACCGAAAAGGAAAGAAACGUGGUUUUUGCUACCAGCAAUUACCCUUUUCAUUUCAGAAAGGAAGGGGGCUUUUUUCUUUUUUUCCUCCAGAAGAAGUGGAUAUUCAGUAAUUUGUCGUGUGUUAAUUUGGCAUCCUUCUAAGUUUCUAUUUUAAACAAAAGGACUGUUUCUCUGGAGCGUUUUCCCCUCAUGCCAGUACAUGACAAGGCUGACAUUUCUGGAGAGCGGUCUAUUUAGCAUCUUCUUGUACAACCCUUCAGGUGCUUGCAGAGACAUGGUAACAAGCAGUGUCUUGACACCCAAGGUGGCACAGGAAGAUUAGAUUUACAAGAAGAUUGUAUUUUUAUUACCCUAAAUAUCCUAAUAUAUAUUAUCCUAUAUAUUCUGUUAUCCUAUAUUUAUGUAGAAUAAUACAUAUCCUAUAUUUUGUCUUAUAUAUUCUAUGUAUACACACAGAAAUAAGGUAUGUCUGAAAUGUAUGUGUAUUGUGUCAAACCCACCGUCUUUCAUUACGCCACGACAGAUUUAUUUCUUCGUGUUGAUAAUGAUGAUGUAAUCAUAAUAAUGAUAGUUGGCAUUUAUUAAAUGCUUGCUAAGA